CGGGGGGGGUAAGCGUUGCUCGGAAUUACUGGGCGUAAAGGGCUCGUAGGCGGCCAACUAAGUCAGACGUGAAAUCCCUCAGCUUAACUGGGGAACUGCGUCUGAUACUGGAUGGCUUGGAUUCGGGAGAGGAAUGCGGAAUUCCAGGUGUAGCGGUGAAAUGCGUAGAUAUCUGGAGGAACACCGGUGGCGAAGGCGGCAUUCUGGACCGAUAUUGACGCUGAGGAGCGAAAGCCAGGGGAGCAAACGGGAUUAGAUACCCCGGUAGUCCUGGCCCUAAACGAUGAAUGCUUGGUGUGGCGGGUAUCGAUCCCUGCCGUGCCGAAGCUAACGCAUUAAGCAUUCCGCCUGGGGAGUACGGUCGCAAGGCUG
rnacentral:rRNA from 1 species